rnacentral:tRNA from 5 species
GGCUAUAGCUCAGCUGGGAGAGCGCCUGCUUUGCACGCAGGAGGUCUGCGGUUCGAUCCCGCAUAGCUCCACCA